rnacentral:rRNA from 1 species
UACGUAGGGUGCGAGCGUUAAUCGGAAUUACUGGGCGUAAAGUGUGCGCAGGCGGCCGCGCAAGUCGAGUGUGAAAGCCCCCGAGCUUAACUUGGGAAUUGCGCUCGAAACUACGUGGCUGGAGUGUGGCAGAGGAAGGUGGAAUUCCAGGUGUAGCGGUGAAAAUGCGUAGAGAUCUGGAGGAACACCGAUGGCGAAGGCAGCCUUCUGGGCCAACACUGACGCUCAUGCACGAAAGCGUGGGGAGCAAACAGG